rnacentral:rRNA from 1 species
UACGAAGGGGGCUAGCGUUGUUCGGAAUCACUGGGCGUAAAGGGCGCGUAGGCGGCUUUAUAAGUCGGGGGUGAAAGCCUGUGGCUCAACCACAGAAUUGCCUUCGAUACUGUAGAGCUUGAGACCGGAAGAGGUAAGUGGAACUGCGAGUGUAGAGGUGAAAUCCGUAGAUAUUCGCAAGAACACCAGUGGCGAAGGCGGCUUACUGGUCCGGUUCUGACGCUGAGGCGCGAAAGCGUGGGGAGCAAACAGG